CGCAGCUGGUCUGGAGCAGCCUGGGCACAGGGGAAGCAGCAGGUGAAGCUGAACCCAAGGAAGUCGCUGAAAGCUGGCCUGAUGUGUGGAUGCCAGGGCAGGCUCCCUGAGGCUGAUGUGAUGCUGAGGUAGCUCCAUGCUUGGCCCUCCUCACCCUGAGCCAGGUGAAGCUGCUGGUGGUGCUCCACUCCUUGGAGGAAGAUCCUGACAGCUUUGCCAGGCAUGCUGAUGGGCAGAUGAAAGCUUGGCUGCUGGGAGCUCUCCAGCUCAGCUUCACAGACCUAGUGCACAUCAGCUGCUGUGCCCUGUCUCAGAAACCCUGCCUCUGUCUUCUCCUGCUGGAUGCUCCCUCUGGCUGCUGCCCUGCCUCUCAAGAUAAUAACAAAGGCUCUGAAACUGCGGAAUUUCCCUUCUCUCUGGAGUGGAGAUCAAGGGGAGUGUUAUGUCCCUACAUGCAGGAUAAUAGGCAGUGCAAGUUUACUCUCUGUCUACACACAGUGUGUGGAAGUUGGUUGUUAUCUGUAUUUUCUAGAGGAAAUGAGCCAGUUUUGUGAGGAGAGGAGUGUUUGGGGUGAUGCCUGUGCAAGAGCAGCUGGAUCAGGGUCACAGCUUUUGACUUGGGAAAAUGUUCAGUUUGGUGCAGCUCAUUUGUGAGACAAAAAUUCAUUGUCCCAAAGUUCUUCUUUUCAUUCUCCCUAUUUGAAAUCCUUUUAAACUGGGAGAAGAAAAUAGUUAUAAGUUUCAGUACUGACUCAUUUCAAAAUCGAAGGCAUCUUUUUUGAUCUAACAUUUUGACUAAUUAAACAGGAAACCCUUUUGUCUUACAUAUUACGAAACAUCAAGGUCUCUUUUAGAUCCACUGGUGUUUUUAUUAGUCUCUGAAAUUCUUGAGGAACAGAUAAAAUAUCUCCCACCCAGCUCUGCUGUGUCAGUUAAUGUGUGAGCAAUCACAGUAUGACAUAUCCACAGAGGAGCAUGUACAAAUUGAAUCUCUACGUGUGGUUGUCAGGAAACAAAACAUGCUCGAUAUCUGUUUCAAAGACAAUUUUUGAUUUUAUUUUUUUUUUUUAGCAAAGCUUUUGUGGAAAAUGUAGCAGCAAAGAAAUAAAAAUGACUCCUGCAAUUUGGAAACAGGUAAACAAGAGGUAUUAAAAAUCGAUGAAAACAC